GAAGGGGGAGUAAAUUUGCGUUUCUUUCAGUCGAAAGCAGCAACUUCUCCGGCGCUCGUGCAGCGUGUCAGCGCUACCCACGCGUCUCUUUUCCUUCCUUUCUGGCCUAUUAUCGCACACUCUGGAUUAUGCGGUCAAACCAUCUCUUCCCUCCCCCUACUGCUUGACUUACUUACACCCUGUACUCCUCCUGUCUCUUCCCAUUUAUAUUCCUCGAGGGUUUUCUUUGCCCUUUUAAGAUACAGCCUACAUGGUUUCAUCAAUUUUUAUGCUUAUUGGAUGCACAGGUCGGAUUAUUGGUGAAUCUCAC
rnacentral:lncRNA from 1 species